rfam:Candidatus Azambacteria bacterium RIFCSPLOWO2_02_FTLL_44_14 rifcsplowo2_02_scaffold_1430, whole genome shotgun sequence.
GCGCCCGUAGCUUAGCGGUUAGAGCACGCGACUUAUAAUCGCGGGGUCCUUGGUUCGAAUCCAAGCGGGCGCA